GGCGGUUGAAGGUGGAGAGAGCCCGCUCAAUUUUGGAGUUGAUGAGCUUGGCUCGGGCUCGGUCACUCGCCAGUCGGGAGCGUACGAGGUCGGAGUAGUUGUUGUUUGGCGGCUUUAUGAUGGAUGAAUAAGGAUGUAGGGAGAGGGACAAAACGGAGGAGGUCGAGGUGGGCUGAGCUUUUUCUGUUGAGAAGAGCUGAAGUCUUUUGAAAACUGAAGCAGAGACUGCUUGAGGUGAAAAGGGACUGAGGGGGAAGAAGAAGAAGAAGAGGAUGAUGAAGAUGUUAAUGGAAGGAAAUGGCCUUUGAGCUUCUCGAGCCAUGUUUGUGGGUUUGGAGCAGAAGAGAAGUGAUGAGAAGUUUGGAACGAGCAAGGGUUUAUAUACACGUCGAUCUGCAUGGAGGGCAUGUGGUUAAUUAAUUUAAGACAUGGCUGCAUUCACAUUUUACAAAGGGUACAUAUACAUUUACUAGUCCUUCAAACGAAGACAUGUUCGGAGAAUGUAGAAUAACUGAUAUUCCUUGUUACGAGACAAGAGUCUAGAAGAAGAAUGAAGAGACCUUUUUUUUUUCAAAAAAAAAAUUCUUUGAAGCUUAAUAAGGAAUUUUUAUUCAUGUUAAAUCCGCGAGAACAGCAUCAGACACCAACAGACCCUUCUUCCCUGAAGAAAUGAAGAGAAAAUUAAACAAGUAAUAAUGGUGGGUGCUAUGGGUUAAUAUAUGCAAGUAAUAAUUUUUCGUAAAGAAAUCAUCAAGGGUUUUACGUUAAAAAAAAAUCUUCAAAGGUUUUACAUGCAACGGAUCUUCUGUCCCACACUCUAUACCACUUUCUAUCUUACUUUGUAUUAUAUUGUCAUUUCUCUUACAUAAACAUCAUGUUUUAGUUCUUUUUUAUUUUCUUAAAAUCCAAUAACUAUUAAUUGAGUAAUACACAAAAUUUAACAAACUCAAAAAAUCAAAAUGCAUAAAAAAAUGAGAUUUUUAUGAAUUUUUUGCUGUAUUUUUUAAUUUUCUAUUAUAUAUUGCUUUUUUGAACUGUUAUAUUUAUUUUUAUUCAAUUAAUAGCUAUUGAAUUUUAAAGAAACAAAAAAAAACUAAAAUAUGAUGUUUAUGUAGGAGAAAUAGUAAUAUAAUAAAAAGUGAGAUAGAAAGUGACAAAGAUUACCAGACAGAAGAUCUGUUGCGGAUUUUACAUGCAAAUUCUUUCCCCAAGAGUUGUGGAACACAAGGAAUUAUGUGGCUCUCUAAACUCACACGGUCCACAAUUUUACCUGCGUGGUCCGGGUCCAUCUCUAAGAAGAAGAGACAGUACAAUUGGAAUUUUUUUUGUAUAAUGAAUGCGAUGGCACUUUCUUUGAACAGAGAAAAAUCCUGCAAAGAGGCCAAUCACCAAAUACCGUAGACGUUCAUCUUGACACAUAAACCAUACUUGAAAUCAAAGUUGAAAAUUCAGAUAAUCGUGUUUCAUGCAGAAACUCCCUUUCGGUAUCGCAUGCAUAUUAGGCGACUAAUUAGCUGUCAACGGUACGCAACAUCAAAACAGCUGAUGUGGGACAGAAGAUCCGUUACGUACACAACAUCAAAACAGCUGCACUUUUACCAUUCGUCAACCAAUCAGACCAUUUCGUCUUCUUGUCCAUUUGAUUUAACCUAGAGAAACUCUAGUCGUCAUUCGUUAAUGCUCUUUCUAGUUGUUUAAAUAAAGAAGAAACUUUAAAUUUUUGGUACACAAAAAAAAAAAGAACAAAUGGCCUUAAUUUGAACUCAUUUAUCAAAAACUUUAAUUGUCUAGUCGCCAAAUCUGUAAAUGUAUAAUUGCUUCUACAUAUUUGUCCCUAGCCUAAACUUUUUAGAACUUUAAAAACAAAUUGUAUUGUACACUGAAACAGUUACAUGUCCUAAAUUAGAGUUGCCAAUGAAAGAUGGCCAACAUUCUAGUUUUCAUAGGAUAUUACACUUUUCUAUGGUUUUCAAUUAAUGAGAACCACGAGCCCAACAUUAUGGAAUAGGGGUUGUAUCAAGGCACCGCACCAGAGGGCUCAUUGCAAUUGGAUAGAAUAUUCUGAUGCAGACUCGUUCGACCAGUCUGCAGGUAAAGCCUAUUGACUCAGUGGCGACUAGUCGAUCAAUCAGACAAACCAAAGAAGUUAACCUUCUUUGAUACCCAUUAAUCAGAGCCCACAAAGACCAGGACUUUUUUCUUGCCAAUUUUCGGUAAGGCAAAAACAAAGCAUUAAAGCUGGAAACAAAAAAAGAAAAUUUCCCCUUUUAUAGUUUUAUUAGGUCAAGCCAGGAGCAGGACUAGAAGAAAGAAAAUGUGUUUCUUCCAUUAAUUCUUCGCAACGUAAUUCUUCCUUUUAUGUGUACACUAAUUCUUCACCAGAUCGGCAGACCUUACGAGUUCCAGCUCGAUCGUGCAACGAGCGCAACUGAUAAAUCAUUACAGCGAAAACGGAGAGGAUUUGUCUUGUACGUAUACCUCAAUUGACAUGACCGAAUAUGUGUGGGAAAAGCUAGCUCAAGGAUUAAUCCAGCAAAAACAAUCAAGACUCAACAUAACUUACUAUCAAAUUAAAAUGAAGACAGCAGGGCUGAAUCCAAUCGGCCUUGUAUUAUUUUGCAAGCAUUCAUGUGGAAAAUGAAACAGCCAAUGGAAUGGAAUGGUCGUACAACUCCCUCCUUGCCAGAACUUUAUUCAUUCUAUAUCUAUCGACGAAAUACAUCAUAUAUACCCUGUUUACUAAUCGAAAGAACGAUUAUUUUUCCUAUCUAAUGUGUAUCUGAUCAUGUAUAGACGCAUGACUCAUGUACGUUUUAAAUUUUAUAUCUAUAACAUGUAUUUAAAUUCGUUAAUAUAUGCAUACGCUGUCAGUGUACAAAAUAUAUUUAUUAAAACAAAAUCUUUUAAUUUAUAAAUUUCUCAAGUUCAUUAUCAUGUUUUCAUGACUAAGUUAACCGAUGAAAAAAGGCACUCAAUUGACGGAACUUUUCAACAUAAGUAGAUAACGUCCCAACAGAAUUCAGCCAAAACUUUCGUCGUCCUCUCACGUGCCCGGCGUGUGGAUUAGAAGCAUUCAGUCCUUCGCGCCUUGCGCGUUAGCUUCCCACCUGGCCUCGUUGCCAGUGUCCCAUGUGCUUCUGCUGCAUUCUCUCUUCCCGCUGCCUUCUCUCUGCAGCUUCUCUCUCUCUCUUUCUUCUGUCAUUCUUUUUCCUCUUUUCUCUUUCUCUUCUUCUUUCCACAACAAUGUUGCUCUGUCCUCUCAAUUUCUCUCUCCUUUCCUCUAGGGUUACGUACAUCCUCAUACUUUGUCCAUUCGCUCCUCCUCCUCCUCCGUCGACACACUGUCUCCCUCUCCUCUAUCGGCUCCUUUUCUACCCAGCAUCAGAGGUCCGCUUUCUUCCACUGGCCCUGGGAUUCCCCUUUCGCCUCCUUCUGCUUCAAGUUCAGCCUCGCUGUUCCCUUUUUUUUUUUUAAUACCAUUUCUCCUCCACCGCCACACCUUCUUCCUCUCAUUUAUCUCUCAGCCUUUGGGAGGCCUUUCAAUUCCAUAGCAAGAUCCUCGCCAUCAUCGGCAUCUCUCACUGCCUUUCCUCCCUAGAUCUCCAAACCCUCCGGACCCAGACCCUCGCCCUUUAUAGGCUCGGCUCCUCCAGAUCUCCAGACCAUCCUUGCUUGGAGGAAACAGAGAAAGAGAACAAUUAAAGCAUCUUCCUUUUCCCUUUUUCCUAACCCUAAGCUGACCCGCCUUUCAUCCCCGCCGCUCUUCUCACACUUCCUCUCCCUUUCCUGCCCUUUCUUCUCCCUAUCCCAUCUUACUACGUAUAGUUUACUUCUUUAUUCACCGGCACCCGAAUUCGAGUAUAAUCCUCCUUUGCCGUCCAAAACAACCUGUGGGAAGUUGGAUAAAGGUUUGCCUUUUUUUUUUCCUCAAUCGGUUUUUCAUACUCUGUUGUCUUAUCUUACGAGGUAAUGGGUCUGGAUUUGAAGCAGGUGCAUCAACGAUUGUAAGAUUUUUCUUGGUUGGGUCUUGUCAUCAGAUGCGUAAAAGGAGAGAUGGGGUUUAGUAGCUGUUUCAGUGCAUUUGGUUCUUGCAAGGGACAAAUAAAGCACAUGUGCCAUGAGGUAAGAACCAAGAAUAUUUCAAUUUUUAGUUUAGGCUUGAAUGGAGGUUUUUCUCAAUUAUUGCUAAAUUUGAGCAUGGUGAUAAUUUUGUUGAUUGGAUUUAACAGUUUACGAAUAAGUAAUUGAACCUGAAUUUAUGUUUCCCGAUUUCCAAUUUUCAACUCUAGAUAUUCCCUAGGCAAUCACAACCUUCAAGCUUCUCAUCAUAACUAUGCGUCCUUAGGAAACAUCUGUUUUUUCUAACUUGAUAAGUGGAGUCGAUCCAUGUAUUCUUAAGGUAGCUAUGUUACCCAGUUUAGAGUUGUUUGGUUCAGAAAAAGCUCCAAAGUCAGGUUUCAAUUUGAGCUUAAUCUAAGCGGGACAUAAGUGCCUUUAGCGGCUCACAACUUAGAUAACAGUUUCAGUUCAAAGAUAUAAGAACCUGAAUUUUUUUUGUGAGAUUUAUACUGCAUAUUUUAGGAUGGGUGUUAUGGUUUCAUCUGAAUAGUGCAUAUACUAAUCUACAACUCUUUUCCAUGAUUUUGUAUAUGAUCACUUCUGAUUCUCUGGUUUUCUAUCUGCUUCUGCAUGGUUAGAGCUUGCUACCAGCAAUGUUAGGCUAUUCUCAUACAACUCUUUGAGGUCAGCAACAUGACACUUUCUCUCCUCAAACUAGAAUAGGAGGCGGCAGUUUUGGAGUAGUAUACAGGAUAUGAUCAAUCUUAGUUUGUGUGUCUGCAUAAGUUUUACUUUUAUGGCAACUUUGAUUCGGAGAGUAAUAUAGAGGAGAGGAAUGAGGAACUAAGCUAUUAUGGUACCUUACCAAUAUCAUUCUUAUGUUCGGUCCUCCUCAAUUUGUUAGCUCUUCAUAGAGGCUCUUAUCCAGUUUUUUGUACUUUUACCUUCUUGCAUCUCACCUUAAAAUUACUUGUUAGAGAAUGAAACAUGGUGCAAUGAUAUUGACAUGUGUGUAAUUCCUUAUGAGCUGGUGGAUUAAAACUUCUGUUGGCUAUUGAAUAAGAUGAGUAAAUUUCUUAUAUCAAGAAUUCAACAAGAAUGAAACAGGCAGACCUUGAUAAUUGUCUACUAUAUGAUGGUUUAUAUGUGUAGAUAUGCAUUCAAGUGUCAUCGAAAAUCUGGAGCUGGAAGGGACAUUGUCUACCCCAUUGAAUUCAAUUGCAUUUCAUCUUAUAUAAGUGGUGCAUAUACAUUUAUCCACAAUAAAGAGAUUAUUGUUCAGCAGUCAUUCAUUGGAAGUUGGAUUGUAUGGCCUCUUUUUUUUUUUUUCAAGUUUUGUUAAGAAAGAAAAUCAAUGCUAAGAUAUUUCACUAGUGGAGCUGGAUCUAUUACAAUUUUCUAUUGAUUGAAUAUCUUUAGCCUCUUCUUGUAAUCUAUCUCAAAACUGAUUUAAAUAUGCAGCUAUGGUACAUUUGCUACUGGGGGUUGUGAUGGUUAUGUUAGUGUGUGGGAUGGAAACAACAAAAAAAGGCUGUAUCAGGUACUUUUUCCACACUGAAUUUGAAAUGUCUUCAACUUCAUGCUGACUGUAGACACCAAAUUUUUGGUGUAAUUUCUUUUACUUUUUAUUCUCAUUUAUCGUGGUUGCUUUUAGUUUUUUUUAGUUUCUAGUUUCUAUUUUUAUUUUUAAGUUUUAGCGUAGAAAAAUCAUGAAAAAAGAGAAAAAGGAAAAUUGUUCACAAAAUAGGUUUAUUUCUUUUUAAAUUCAAUCUUUUGACUUUAUUUAUUUUUUGGUUAGGUUAUUUCGAAAACAAAAGAAAAGUGAAAAAUGAAAAUGAAAAAUGGAAAUUUGCAUUUUUUGUUGUUUUUAGUUUAUUUUUAUCUAAUGUUAAUUAAGUUGUUUUCAUCAUUAAUUAUUAUUGUUUUAUUAUUAUCAUUUUUGUUGUUUAAUUAAUUAAUUAAAAAAUAAAAAUAAAAAUAACAUUUCCAUCUCUGCCGGAGUGCAUUCCCUUCCCUCGACACACACACUCAACCUCCACUACCGCGAAUCACUCCACUACCUCAGCCUCAACCACAAACACUCCAUCUCCAUUCUCCACCUCGUGAUCAUCGACGAGAGCAAGAGAGGGAGAACUCCUCGGAUUGAGCAGGAGAAAGGUGAAGAGAGAGCGAGCCGCGAGCUGUAUUUCUGUUCUGUCCGAGGAAGUCAAGCGAGAGAGAGAGCAAGAGGCAGUCGAGUGAGCUACUGAUCAUCACCAUCUUCACCAGUUCCAAUCGAAACACCACAGCUUCAACCAUCCGCAACCAGGACCAACACAUCCAACCGCGAGCGAGCAGAGAGGAGAGAAACAUCAGCUUUCUGUCGUCUGAGUGAGCUUUCGGUGAGCUACAACAACACCCUCUACCUUGGAAUCAUCGAAGUGAGGAAACCAGCGAGGGAGAGGGAGCUGCCAUUCCAUUUUUCACCCUCAACUAGCCGUGAUCAAUUCAGUCACAACCAUUACAGCUGCAACCACUGAAUUCAGACUAACCAUCCUCGCGUGCGUGAGCUGCCGAGAGGAAAAAUUGCAGCUGCUGUCCGUGUGAGCUUUUCAUCCAUUUCCUUUCGUCUGUAAACUAGAAAGAGAUUGGGAGCCAUAUUGUCUUCAUACUGGUCGCAAGCUAGAGCAAGGGAGAAGGAGAGUUGCGGACUGAAAUUCUGGACAGCCGAGAGUAGAGGAUUUUUGCAGCUGCUAGUUGCGUGAUUUGAGCCUUAAGCUGAGGUAAUUUCUGGACUUAAGCUAGUUGAUUAUGGCUUGAUGAAGUUGUUUAUAAGCAUGCAUGUGAGAUUGUGUGGCUAGAUGAUAGUUUAAGUCACAGAAAAAUCUGUUUGAGAAGGAAGUGAAGCUGCCGAGAGCUUGAGCUGGAAGUUUCGGUUUUUUUUUAAUUUGCUAGUUGUGAUGAUCUGAGCUUAAUUUUGAACUCAACCUGCUAAAUAGUUCUUUAUUUGGUACUGCAUGUGAACGUUAUGGGCAGGAUUUCGGUUGCAUGGCUGGAUUUUUUUUUAUUGGAAGUAUUAGACUGCUAAACUAAUUUUCCAGCUUUGCCGAGAAGCUGAAAUGGAAAUGCAAUUUUAAUUUCGUUCCCCUGAGGCAGGCUGAGCUUAUAAAUGUGAUUAACUAGCUAAGAAGUAGGUGAUUAAGCUUUGCAUGAAGUUCAUUAGUUCGGCUAAGCAAGGAAAAAAUAUGAAACAGAAAACUGCUACAUGCAAGUUCAUCCGAGGGUGGUGAACAGAAUUUCUGGAAUUGUGGAUGAUUAUAGUUGCUGACCGAACUUGAUUUGAACUAGUUAUGAUAGUAAUUUCAUUAAGUAGCCUUGCAUGUUAGUUUUGAGUACUUAGCACAAUGAUUCAACCGAGGUAAAUUCGGAUUUAAGACCAACUACCUGCUGGAAAAUGCAUAUUCAUUUUUUGCUGCACCAGAAAUUUACGGUUGUGUCUUGCUAUUUUCUUCCAUUGCGGUUCCAAACUUUGCUGUUUUUGUUAGAUAGUAAUUCCAGCCUUGACCGAAAGUUGUAGUUUGUAUGCAUGAGAAGCUUAACAGGAUUUUGAGCAUGGGUUUGUGAUUCGAAAUGCUUGAGUGCAGCUUCCAUGCGAACUGCCUAAGCUCAAAAGAUUUGUUUGCUGAAGUUUCAAACCUUUGAUGUUUUGCUAAUUUUUCUGUUUGAAUGAAGUUGCUAAUUUUUCUGUUUGUUUGAAUAAAGUUGCUAAGUUUUCUGUUUGUUGGGUCUGAAUGAAAUUGGUUGGUUUGGAAAAUUUGAUCACGGUUGUGAUUAAGAAGCUUGAGCUUGAGAAGAAAGUGCAGCAGUCUUCGGUUGCUAGAGUAUGUGAAGUAAUUGCAGAAACUUGUUUCAUGGCUAUUGCAUAGAACUUGCAUGUUUUUUCCUUCUAAAUUUUCUACCUGUUGAGGCGAUGGUGAUGACAUAGUUUGCAGCUUAGUUAAAGCUAUGUAUGUGAGCUUGAGAUCUGUUUUUUUUUGGAAAAUAAGAUGUGAGUUUGAAUUGGGUUUCGUUUGAGCAAACAUGAGAGAAAAUAUUGCAGAAACUCACUUUGAAUUUGAUUUACCUGUUUGUUUGGUUGUUAGAUUCAUGCUUUAAUGUGUUGGUUAGAAGAUUUUUCGAUCAAAAUGGUGUUAAGGUUGAGAAAAUGAAAGUCACGGUUGUCUUCUGGGUUGCCGAAAGCUUUCAGCAGAAAUUUCUGCUGCAGAAUGUUGUUUCUCAUGUUGAUUUUCACGUAGCUUGCAUGGGUUUUGCAUGAAAUAAUUUCUGAAAAUUACAUUUUUAACCCCCCAAGUCCCCUCUUGACUCACUAGGGCCCAAGUAAUUGGAACAUUUAAUCAAUUUGAUCCUUUUAAGUUUCUUUUUGUUCCACAAGAGCCCAAGCAUGUUCUAGUAUCUUGUAAUUAAGUCCUAAAAUCAUUGCAACUUCAAUCUUUGUUUGACUUUUCCUUUAUUUUUAAGAUCUUUGAAGUGCUUAAACGAUUUAUUUGGACUUGAAUGUUCGAGUAAUGCUUGUUUUGGGUCUUUAGUAGAUGCUAUAUUUGGAAAUUGAACGGGUUAUUCCGUUUUCUUGGUCUUUAAGCAUUUUUUGAGCUCAUUCAAGUUGCAAUUAGGUGGUUUUUGAUGUUUUUGCUUAUACUUUACUUUUAAAUUGAUGCCUUGACCCCUUUAUUGUUUUGAAGCCAUUUUCCUUCAUUUGCUUACCAUUAGGGGAAGGUAUAACUUUCUUUUAUCCUCUUUACUUCUCUCUUACGUGCUCCUACGUGUUACGUGAAUUGCAUGUCUACUUGGCUUUCUUAAGUUUUCUUUAAUUCCUUUCAUUUUUAAGUCUUUCUUUUAUUUAUGGGGUAUGUGUACACCUCUUGGCUUGUAAUAGAUAGGGCAUUGGAGAGCACUUUGUCCAUUUUUCCCCCUUCCCCCAUUUGUCUUAGUUAGCCCAUGUAAUAGUUUCAUUUGCUUUUGGGGUAUUAUUUGGUUUGCUAUGUGUUUAAUUUGCUUUAUUAAGCUAUUGCAUCUAGUCGAGCAUGCUAAGUGUUAUGUGCUACGUGUUAUAAGUGAUUUUGCAUGUCUACUUGCUUUCUAUAUUUAUAAAUGAAUGUGAUGGAUGAAUGUACGUUUCCACUAGUCCAACGCUAGUCGGAAUUCAUAGAAUGGGCUAGUCCAACGCUAGACCCUUAGGGACUUCCCCUCGUUAGUACAUGUUUGCAUGUUCAUUACAUGUCAUGCAUUUUUUUUAAAUUUUAUCAUUUUGCAUGCCCCUCGAACCCCUUUUCCCUCCAUUUUAGGAUUUUUGCAUUUCAUACUAGUUAUAGGGUUCAUCUGCUUGAGGGUCCCCUUAAAUAUGGGAUAUAGACGAGUGUGGCUUUUUCUAAGCCUUAGCACGCUUGUAUUCCCUCUAUAAAAGGGCAAAUUGAAUCACGAUUUAGGUCUCCCCGUACCCAAUAUGCAUGAAUUCCCUAGGCUCAUGCAUUUUCAAAUCCACUCUACCAUUUUAUACCCUCAUCACACUUUCAUUUUUCCUCCCAUUUUGCACACGUGCAUCUUUAUUUUUUCUUCACUUGCACACGAACACUUUUAUCAUCACUUGCACACAUGCACUUCAUAUUAUCAUUUCACAUACCGUACCUUGCCCACUCACGUGCACAUUUUCAUUUACAUAUUUAUUGUUUUUUAUUACUUUUUCAAACUCAUGUCCUCACAUUGCAUACAUGCAUUUCAUUCAUUUGCAUCCCACUCGCAUUAUUCGUGACCUCUCCAAAGGGUCAUUAUUGGGCUUCACAAUUAAUGUGAUUGGCACCAUUCAACCUUUGAAGAGAAAUUUUCCCCAAUACCCCUAGGUCUAGGGUUUGCAUUCAUAUAGUACAUCCAAAUGUAAUAAAUUUUUUGGUUAAAACAAGAAAAUAUUUGAUUAAAUCACGCAACUAGCCUUGGCUAGGUCGAAGGGGUGCCUUGGAUUUUUAUCCUUGCCUUCCCCUUCGUCAAAUGUGACUCCCGAACCUUUUUCGUUGGUUUACGUGGACUAGGAGUCGUUUAAAAGGGGUUUCUUAAUAUUUUCUCCUAUUUUUCUUUAAAAAUUCAUUUUUAGGUGACUUGGUACACCUUAACUCAUUACCAAGUGGCGACUCCGAUUUUUUACUUCAAAAACCCUUUUUAAACUAUAAUUUUGGGUCAAAUCGUCGCAUUCUCAAGCCCCCAUUUAGACCCAUUUUUCUUUUAAAUAACAAUUCAUUUUCCAAUCACAAAUUGAAUCAAAAAAUACAUUUUCUCAAACCAUUUAUUUAUUUAUCAAAAAAUGGGGCGCGACAGUUGGCGACUCCACUGGGGACUUAUCCAAUCCACUCUCAAAUCUACAACCACAUAAGCUUAAAACUUUUAGCGAGCUAGCGAGCAAAACCGAUUGCGGAACGCUAAAAAUGUCUAUCUGAGCCCGACAAACUAUCAAUGCAAACAGCAAGUUCUGGAGCAGUCCUGUCUACUGCUAUACCAAUCCAUUGGUCCAUAUUAGGCAUCAACAACUCCAUAUCAGGGAAGUCAAUAUACAAUUGAAAUCUUUGUACGCAAAAUCUAGUUGCAAGCGCCGACAAAUGGAAUUUCCAGCAAGAAUCAAGAAAUCAUGUUUUCGCUUUUUUAUAUGCAAGUCACCAAGAACUUGCUCUUGUUCUGUGACUGAAUUAUCAUAGAAAAAGUGGAAUACAAGAUAAGGAUAAGUGGACCAGGUGCGAUUCCAAGUCUUUGACAAUAUUGCAGUAGAGGUAACAUCUCUGGCACGCAGAUAAGAUAAAAUGUGAUGAAUCACGGAAUCAGGCAACCGCGAGAUGAAGUCCAAAGGGGCAAUCUCCAAACCAGAUCUCUCCUGCUCACAUUCCUCUAUUAUUAACCAACAAAAGCGUUCAUUGACCAGUUAGAACUCAAAUUUCAUCUGUCACUCAUUUACGAACUAAUUCCAACUCCAAUAUGCUUGAUAAUCAAAACAGAACCAAUUAGAACUCAAACGUUCAUUAUUCAUUCAUAAUUAUACACUAAUAUGAACUGAAACGUGCUGGAUUAUCAAAGUUAUGCGCUAAUUUGAAACUCAAACAGUUCCUUAUUUAUUGACGACCAUACACAAAUUCGAACUCCAACGUGCUGAUUCACUACAAUUAUAUGCUAAUCAAAAUCAAAAGUCUUCAUCCAUUCAUGAUUAUAAAGUAAUCAGACUAAAUGGUGCAGGAUUAUUACAAUUAAGCAACUGAAGCAUUUAUAGAAAGAAAGUUUACAGAGUACCUGAUUCCAUGAAGGGCAAGCCGGCAAAGACUUUGAAUCCCGAAGGCGAACCUGAUUAUAUCAGUAAAUGUUAUAAAGUUAGCGAGGAAAUCUAUUUAAAUUAAGCAAGCCAUAAGAAGAUUGCAAAUUCCAGCUGACUUUGUGAAUUAUAAUGUUGAGCAGAAAAUAAAGCAUGAUCAUAAGGAUGACCAAAAGUACCUGAAAAUAAUUAAUAGCCUCUGUAAUUUAGCCCCAAUUCCCGGAACAUGUAGACGACGGGAGCGACGGUCAAUUAAGAUUAGCCACAUAUUGUGGCAAGUACGAGGGAGGAAGGGGUAAGGGGUAAGGGGAGAUGGUCAACUAAGACCAGCCACAUAUUGUGACAAGUAUGAGGGAGGCAGGGGUAGAACCCCUGACCUCCAACAUCACCAAAGAGGGUGAUGACUACUGGACCAAAUGGCCAGUGGCGAGAAUAGAGAUACUACAUAGCAUGAAACUGUGAAUACACGUAGUUGGGUAGUAGACUACUAGUUUCUUUCAUUAGUUUUCCUUGACAAAAUAUUUUUGGCUCCGUUUGAAUUAAUUACUUUUUUUUUAUAUUUUUAAAACAUUUUACUGCAACAGUGUAUAUGAAAAAUUUUGAUUGUAAAUUUUUUUGUGAUAUUUUUGAAUAAAUUUUUAAAAUAUAUUUUGGAGUACCUUUUAAAAUUAAAAUAUUUUUAAAGUACUUCUUAAAAAUUAAUACUAUCACCCACAACCACAAAUAACCACCAACACCACCUCCACCACCCACUCCUUCCUCCUUUCUCUUCCCCUCUCUUCCCUUUCCCUGCCCCACCCCCUUAAUCUGGCAGCAACCAAAGGCUGCGAUCUGGUCGCGGCCAGAAAGUCUAGUAUCGACUAGAUUGCGGCCUCUAGUCACAACUAGAGACCUUGAUCUGGUCUUUGGCAGAUUGAGGGAGGAAGAAAUGAGAGGGGGGUAUUGGUGGUAGGCGGGGAUGGUGGUGGGUGGUGGUGGCGAGUAGUGGUGGUGAUAGGUGGAAAAUGUUAUAUAAUUCAAUUUUAAAAAUUUUUUUGUGUAUAUUUGUGAAUUAUUUUUUAUAUAUUGUAUGGAUGAGAUGUUUUUGAGUUGUUUUAUUUGUGUAUUAUUCUAGCAUUGUAUUUGAAAAUUUUGUUUUUGAAAAAUAGAUUUUUGGAUUUUUUAGUAGAAAAAUAUACUAUAUCAAUUUGAUGUAUGUGAGAUAAAAAUGUUUUGAAAAAUAUGAUCAUAAAAAAUAUUAAAAAAAAUUUCUGCAGAAAAACUUCAAGGAAUUUCUAGAGAAAAAGAAAUCCAAAAUCCUAAUUUUUUCCUUUUGUUUUUAGAAAAGGAAAAAGUGCAAGCCAAAAAGCAAUAAAAUGGAUAACUUCUUUUCAUAUGAAUAUAUGAUGUUAAGUACUUUAUGUACUCAUAAAACCCAUAUUUUGGUUUAAGAAAAGCAAUACCUAAUGAAAUUGUAAAAUGAGAACGGUAACAAAGAUUAUAGUCUAAAGUACUCGUUUGAUAGGCUAGUGCAAUUUGGCGUUUCACUUGUACGCUUCAAAUGCACAUCAUCAAUCAGGUAUCCGGACGCUUGGCUAUGCAACUUGAACAAUCAUCACAUGUAGAACUGAGGGGGCGCUUGGUUCAAGUUUAGGAAUUGGAAUUGUAAUUGGAAUCAUAGACUCUGGUUUUGGAAUUAAAACUUUUCAUUCCAAUAUCUUGCUUGGUUCACACAUUGGAAUUAGCAUUAUUCCAAUUCCUGAUGCUUGGUUUGAUGAGUGUUUCGGAAUUAAAUGCAAUUAAAUUCCAAAUUUACCCCUGAUAUAACAAUUCUUCUAAAACAAAAGAAUUACACAUACGACAAAUUAACAUUUUCAUAAUUGUAACUACAAUAGUUAUUAACUUUUUAAAAACAUAAGAAAAUCAUAAAUAAUAAAAAAAUUAAUACCAAAAAUAAAUAUAGUGUGCUGCAUUAACAAGGAGUAAAUUCCCAAAAAAAGGAGUUUUUAAACAAUCACCCAAAAGGUGACGAUUUUUGAGUCUCUUCCAAAGGGUGAAAAAUGCAUCCAAGGAAUGUGUUCUUCCAAAUAUGUUUUGGAAAUUUGUUUAAAUAUGAAAAAUUGGUUAAAUAGCCCAUAAGAUACCAGCUCUUUAUGGAAACUGGCAGGUUUUGUACCAGCUUUAUGGAAAAAUUGAUUAAAUAGUGCCCAAAGGAAAACUAGUAUGUUUUGUAUUUAACAUAAAUUAAAUAUGUGAAAGUUAAAAAAAAAAAUUGCCCAUAAGAUACCAGCUCUUUAAGGGAAACUGGCAGGUUUUGUAGUAUGUUUUGUACCAACUCUUUAUGGAAAACAUACCAACUCUUUAUGGAAAAAAUUGAUUAAAUAGCGCCCAAAGGAAAACUAGUAUGUUUUGUAUUUAACAUAAAUUAAAUAUGUGAAAGUUAAAAAAAAAAAGAAAUUACUCAUAAGAUACCAGCUCUUUAUGGGAAAUUAGCAGGUUUUGUAUUUAAUACGCUAUUUAACCAAUUUUUUUAUUUAAACAAAUUUACGAAAAUUAAAAUAACGUAUUUGAAAGUUGCAUUUUUAUUUGGAAGAACGCAUUUCUUGAAUGUGUUUUUCAUCCUUUGGGAAGAGACUCAAAAAUUGCCAGCCUUUAGGAAGUUAGUUUAAAAACUCUUUCUUUUUGGAAAUUUACUCCAUUAACAAGUCGUUUGUGGUUCCUACAUUAGAUAAUGAUAUGAAAUAGAUCUCUCCUUACAUAUAUGAACAAAAGAAGGAGACUCAAAUCACAAAAGCUAACCAUACCAAAUACAAAUCAAUUGUCUAAUCCAGUCGAGAGUGCCACUCAAUGUCCACAAUCUCCAAAAGACUAAUCAUAUAACCAUCUAACAAUCACCAUAACAAAAAGAAAUUGCCAUCAAAUCAUCACUUUCCAGCUAACAAUAAUUUUACUUCAGCGAGUAGAUGGAGGAUAAAGGAGGUUAAUUACAUAUUGUCGUUUCAUUUCUGCAGGAAGAUUGUAGAACACAUGAAGCUUGGAAAUCUGCUCCGAAAGUAUGUCGGCUGCAUUCAUUACAUCUCCACUCGGUAAAGCAAGUUUCAUUAACUCAGCAACAACUUGAUCUCUUCUAUCGGAGACCAAUUGCUCACGUUUAUCCUCAUUUGACAUGGCUGCUGCCAUAGUUGUGAAAUUAGCUUGAAUUCCCUCCACGAAAUCUCCAAAUUUGCUGGUGAGAAGUUGCAAUGAUGCAUCAAGAUCACCCCUUGUUGUUGAUGCAGAUUUCAUUUUUUUUGACACAUUUGCAAUGGGAGGGGAUUGUUUCUUUUGUUUCUUGGAAUUUCUUGUGCUUGUUGAGCUUGGUUGAGUUGAUUGCUCCAUGGAAUUUACUUCAUCUUCUUCUACCUUAUCAUUAUCCGAGUUUGACAUAGCAUCAAGCCCUUCAUCUCCUUCCUCCAAAUUUUGGACAUCUUCCAUAUCUUGGACAGCUUGUGCAAAAUCUUCAGCAACAUUUCCAGUGGCUCUGUCUCUUCCAUAUACAAUUUCAAGAUCUCCUAAAUAUGGAAAUUUGACAUCCCAAAGGCCCUUCGCAUCCUUAUGAGUCUAGAGAUAGAAUAGAAAGAUAAAUGAUAAUCUUAAUAAAAGGUUGAAAAAGAACAUAUCAGAAUGUAAAAAGUAAUCAAUUUCUUACCUUGCACCAAUCAUCAUACCACUGUUUUUCACAAGAAAUCUUUUUCUCAGCAUCAUUCCAACUACAACCACUUUCUUUGCACAUUUCAACAAUUGCAUGGAACCUAUUUUUCAGCCACUUAACUUUUGAUUCAAUAUGUGGGCUGACUUGUUUGGUAAAAGUAGGUUGCUUACGCAAGAUAAUUUUAAGCAAUUCGCUCAUAUAAUUAUUUUUAAAUCCUCCAUCUGAUUUCCACAUUGGAUCACAAGCCAACUCUUGCAAUGAUUCUAUGAGCACUUUUACCUCUUCACCAGUCCAAAAACAUUUAUUUUUCCCUCUUCCACGUACAAUUUCAUCAUUCUCCAUCCUAUCAUUUAGAAGUCAACCCAUAUAUAUCAAUUAAUUUUGAUACACAAUAGCAUAUAACUGAAAUUUAUAAUAUAACAAAACACAUAAAAGAACAUACAAUUAAAAGUCAAUCCAAAUUUAAAAGAACAUACAUCAAGUGUCAAUCUAAUUCACAAAUCCACUACAAGAGUACAUCAAAUGUCAAUCCAAAUUUAAUGAGUCUAAGAGCUAAACAUCCAUUCAUAGCUAAAUACUAAGUCCAGCCCUCCAAUUGUCAAACAUUUCAUGUGCUAAAUUAUUUCUAAAAUUUGCCCAUUGAUCACUUGGCAAAAUAGUGGAUAUGUACUCUACUUCUUCAUCACUGUCUUCAUCUUCACUUUCAUUUUCUUCACUUUGUAGUAAUUCUUGUGGAUCAAAAGUCAUGAACUUCCUUAUCAAGUUGUGCAGCAGACAACAUGCCAUAAUUAUUCGCACUUGUGUUUGAAUUGGAAAAAAUGAAGGGGAUGCUAGAAUCUUCCACCUUCCUUUUAGCAAUCCAAAACAUCUUUCUAUGAUAUUUCUAGCUUUAGAAUGUUUCAUGUUGAAAUAUUCCUCUGGUCUUUGUGGUCGAUAACCAUUGAAUUCAUUAAGGUGAUAUCUUUGCCCUCGAUAAGGGGCAAGAAAUCCAUCAGCAUUACAAUAUCCAGCAUCCACCAAGUAAUAACAACCUUCAAAAUUCAAUCAUGUACAAAUUAAUACUAGACUACCUUAUUUUCGAAAAAAAAUUGAUUGAAUGGUAUUGAAUACUGCAAUAUAUGUUUACCUUGUGGGACUCUAAGACCAUUUGGUCUAGAGAUAGCAUUUCGAAGCACACGACCAUCAUGUGCCGAACCUUCCCAACCAGGCAAGACAUAGAUAAAUUGCAUAUUAGGAGAACAAACCCUAAUACAUUCGUUGCAAUACUUCCUUUUCUCGUUCGGUAUCUUGAUUUUUGUUCGGUGGGUGGUGUCACAUCUAUUAAUGUCCCAUCUAAGGCACCUAAACAAUUCUAUUUUAACAAAAAUAAAAAAUAUAAAUGAGUUAAAAUGUCUAUAUUGGAUAGUUUAGAUGAAAACAUACAUUUUAUUAAAUGAUUGUAUUUUAAUGUUUGAAUUACCUUAAAACAUUUCCAUCUCUCAUCUGUGCAAUCUUCGGUAAUAGGCUCAGGCUUCUUAAGUAAUAUAGUAUGCAAUUUCAAAACUGCUAGGAGGCAAAGAUUAAAUUGACGACUCACCGUUUCUCUACUUCUCCAAAAUAGACCACAAAUUGUUCUACUUUUCUUGUGGUGAGCCAAAACAUAUACAAACAUGGCAACAAUUUCUUCUAUUGACAUGUUUCUUGUAGCUUUCAAACCUCCAGUGUCUCUAAUCAUUUCACAUAAUAUCCCAAAUGUUCGUCUAUCCAUACGAAGUUCGCUAAUACAAUAAGCAUCACUCUCCCUAGUCAAAUUGAAUAAGUGUUGCAUGCGCUCAGUGACUUUUUCUUCUUUUGAUUUUAUUUGGCGUCUUCUACUUUUGAGAUGAAUGAAUAUUAACUGGUACCACAUCAUAAACAGUGCAAUAACAACCAUUAUCAUUCCUGAUAAAAUCUGGCUUUGCCCUCGAUAUUUUUUGCGUCUUCUGUUUUCAAUAGGCAAACGUGGCAUCUUUGUCUACAUAACAAUAUGACAACCAAACGUAAGUAUUCACCAAACUAGAUUACGGCAUCAAAAUCUUCAAAUGCAUUAAACAUCAAUUGAUCUUAUUAAAAGGGCCUAGACAUGCAUCAUACAUCCGUAAACACAAUGAUGUAUAGAUAUAAAUAAGCAUAAACAAACGAAAUUGAUGGUUGAAACUUGAAAUCCUAAUGUACGAAUAACUAUGAAACUGAAAGCUAUUCAAGCAGACAAUUUUACAAACAGGUACAGGGCAUGUAGAAACCCACCCAAACUAUACCAGUAUUCACGGAUCAAAUAACCAAAAGAUCAAGAAUUGAUUGACCUCCAUUGAAUGCGUAAUCCAAGAAAACACAUUAAAAAAUAAAAAUGACAAAUCUAGUGACAUUAACAUUUAUCUCACCAAAAAAAAGAACAAAAUAAUGUAUUUGUUGAAGUAAGUGAAUUAAAAUACAUGUAUUACAACAAAAUACAUGGAUUAAAAACAUGUAUUAUUCUCACCAAUAAUAGUGUAUUUGUUGCGGAAAUAAUUUCUUAUUGGAUUUUGUGACAAAAGAAUAUGAAUUCAUGGAAGGAAGACUUUUUUGCAAAACUGACAGAUUGUGUAGCGUGAGUGGAAUAAAAGUGAGAAGGUGAUGGGUCCAGAGCAUAGCAUUUUGGUCCAGUUAGUGUUAUUGUAUCAGAUUCCCUUCUUUUCUUCUUUAUUUUCAGUUACCCAGUGAGUAGCCUGAAAAAAACAGAGAAGAAGAAAGAGAAAAGCUUGCAUACGAAAAGAAAAUUGAAGAGGCAAGGGAAUUUGUAAUCCACUGACCUGGGAUCAAGGAAUUCACCCUAGUAGAAGACUCUUCAACUCUAGAAUUCGUUGUCCAAGGAGAGUCGAAAGCCACUGAUCAUUAUGGUUGUCCAAUCGGUGAAGUAGAAGCGGUAGAAAAUCUGAUGAAGAAGAAGAACAGAAGGUGCGGAGUGUAAUGAAAAAAAAAAAGAGGGUAGGUUCGUCAUAAAUGUUUUUGCUCGGGAAUGAGUUGGGGGUUUUGUCCAAAACCUCCCAAUUUACUCAGGAAUGGUGAAAGUCCGAUUUUUUAGAAAUGAUUCCAGAAAUUGCAUUCCAAUAGACUUAACCCAAGUAACAAAUAAGGGGUUCAUUCCAUUAUUUGAUUCCCAAACCUUUUAACCAAGCAGCCCUGACUUUAUUCUAGUAUUUUAUAGGAAAAUAUGUACUCAAUUAGCCUGAAGUGAAUUAAAUCAUGAUUGUCAGCAUUUUAAACUUUUGAUGGUGAAGGCCUUAAUUGCUUGACAACUCCCAUGAUUAUUAUGGCUAAACUACUCAAGUUGCCUCGUUAUACUUCAAAAAAAAAAAUUCUCAAUUCAACCUUUAACACUAAGAAGUGACUUGAUUUAAUCCCUUGGAAAUAACUCAUGUCAUUUUUAUGUUGAAUUAGUAGCCAAAAGAUUUAAUCGUGUAUUUGCAAUAUAACGGGGUCUAUGUGUUAUAUUAACGAUAUAUUGUUGAUGAUGAGACUAUAUGAAUUCCAAUUCUUUCAGCAAAGGUGAUAUCCAAACAACAAAAUUUCUUCAAAGACAUCUAAUAAAGAGAUUACCAAGUACCCAUGUUAUUGUUUAAGCAAUAUUAGUAUGUUUUCAUAAACAGCAUUUUAUUUGGGUUGAAAUCAAAUCAACACCUAUAUGCAUUUCAUAAACAGCAUUUUAUGAGGGAUGAAUGAGGAUGUAGGGAGAGGGACAAAACGGAGAGGUGGAGGUGGGCUGAGUUUCUUCUGUUGAGAAGAGUCGAAGUCUCUUGAAAACCGAAGCAGAUACCGCUUGAGAUGAAAAAGGACUGAGGGUGAAGAAGAGGAAGAAGAGGAUGAUGAAGAUGUUAACGGAAGGAAAUGGGCUUGCAGCUUUUCGAGCCAUGUAAAUGUUUGUGGUUUUUGCCGCAGCAGCACAACAAACAAAGAAGAGAAGUGAUGAGAAGUUUGGGAGAUGAGCAUGGGUUUAUUAUAUACACGUACGUUGAUCUGCACGCAGGGCAUCAUCAGUAGCGUGUUACUAUUAUUUAUUGAAGGUCCAUAUCAAAAAAAAAAUUUUGAUAACAAAGGUCCAUAUCAAUUUAAUUUCCAUAGAAAAGUAAAAGUUUGGUACCUUAACAUACAAGAAAGAGAGUACAUACACAAUUAAUCGCCAGUCCUUCAAAUCAAGAUAUGUACAAUGUGUAAGUGAGAAUGUACAACUGAUAUUCCUAGUCUACGAGCAGGGGCGGAGCCAGAAAAAAUUCUUAGUAGGGGCAAAGCAACACUAAAAUUUUUUACCUACUCUUUUUCUAGUUUUUAAGCAAAAAAAAAAAAAAUCACCAACAAGUACAAAUGAUACAUAUAUUCCAUGAAAAAUAUAAAAAGACAAAUUCAAAAUUAUUAAUGUAAUAAUAAUUUUAUUUCAAAAAUAAAUUACACUAUUUACAAUUGCUCACUGCGAGUUUUUAUAUUUUGAUAACUAAUUUGGUUAUAGAAGUAAGAAUGGCUCUCGGUUGUGGAGGGAAAAUAGGGGACCAGUGGAAGGAAGGGAAAUUGGGAAGUGGGGACAAAGGAAGUGAAUGAUAUGAUUGGAUGAAUUGAUCAAGAGAAAGAGUAGCUAGCUGCUUGGUUGUGGAAGGUAGUGGCUCUCGGUUGUGGGGAGAAAAUGGGGGACCAGAUGAGGGAAGGGAAAUUGGGGAGUAGGGCCCAAAGAAAGUGAAUGAUAUUAUUGGUACUUGCUAAUUAAAAUGAAAAGGCUUUUUUUAGCUUAUUUCAAAUGGAAUUUGUGCCCCACGUAUCUUUUUAGAAUUUUAGUUUAUGAAGUAAUUUAAAAAAUCACGUAAUUCUUUCACAUUCUUUCUAAAAAAACUCUGGGGGCACAUUUAAAAUUAUAUUAAAAUUGUACAAAUAUUAUAAGAAUUUAAGGGGGCAGUGGGGGCCCGUUGCUCCCAGUGCCCCCACCUUAAGGCUUCCUUUAGAUGGAGAGAAAAGGAUAGAAAAGAAAGUGACUAGAGAGACAGCCGUACCAUUUCCUUCAUUUGGGAGUUUUAACAUGGACAGGAGAGAAGGGAAACAAACGGAUAGGACCCCCUCCAAUUGGUGAAAAUUUUUCCGCCCAAAAGUGGGAAGAAAAGGACGGAAACUUGUUGGGCGGCAAAAGGUAUUUUUAAUAUGACAUUUUUUGUCCUUUAAAAGCUGAUACAAAAAUUUAUUAUUCCCAAUAUAUCCUAAAGUUCAUUAGUAAAACCACCAAUUCAUCUUUUUCUCAGCUCUUACUUUCAAUACUUCCAACGAGAUUCACCUGACUUUCUUCCGUUCAACACCCACAAUUCAAUAACAGGUAUUUUUUUGACUCAAUCUCUUCUUUCUUUCUUUCUUUGCUCAAUCUUCUUUAGAAAAUUAUGGAAAAAGCAUUUUUUGUGUAGAUUGUUAUUGUUUAUAUUCUAAAUUUUUUGUUCAUUUUCUGUCAUAAAAUUCUUGUCUGCGGGAAAUCUUGAUCUUUAUAUUAUUGAUUUGUGAUUAUAUCUUGCAUUGUUAUGGUACAUGUAAGUUUCAGUGGUGAUACAUGAAUAUGAAAUUUAAAUGCAUACAUUUUGUUUGUUUAUUUGCCCGUGUAAGCUUCAAAGUGUAAAUGAUCAACACAGAGUCCAUAAACAAUAUGUUAGCCUUUUUUAUUGUAAUAAUGCAUGUUUCUUUGAAAUGAUUACAAAGAUAGUAAUACUAGAAGUAUUGUUUUGAAUGGAGGCUGAUGUACAAAAACAAAAUUAGAGAUCUCCUUAUUCAUCAUCCCCAAGAGGUUUCAUGCUUGUCCCUGCUCAAGUUACGAUCCUGGGUAUAUAAUAAGCCUUAAAUUACCUUAAAAACAGUCCAACGUAAGGAUUGGUAAUAGCAGAGUUUAAAACUGUCGAAGCUUCUGCAAGUCUGGCCAUGUAAACUUUGUCUUUAGAUAGGUACAAAAAUUCGGAAUUCAAUUAUCUCAAACCCACAGAGUUCGACAAACUUGACACAUUCUUUAAAUUUUCAUACAUUGCUCUGUUAUUACAAAUAAAUUAAUCAAGUAUACAAUAUAGUAGGUAAAAAAAAAACUUUGAAUCCUACAUUAUUAGUAGAUACUCACGGUGCAAAAAAAAAAAGUUUCACAAGAAUUGAGGGCUAUAAUAGUCAUACAAAUUAUGUACGUGCAAAAUCCCAAGGGAACAUACAUCUUCAAAGGCACCACAUUGCUUUUCUUGAUAUUGGUUCUUGACAUGCAGCCAAACCAGAGUCUAUGACAUGCAGCCAAACCAUACUCAACCAAUUUAUAGUGGUGAAAUACAAUCACAAAUUGUGCUUGCUUGUUGUAUAUUACAUAAUUUUCUCAUGGAGUUUGAUCCUGACUUGGAGUACAUUAAUGAAGUGGAUGAGGAAUUGGCACGUCAAUCUCCAUCGGAGGAAGAAAGUGGUGAUAUAAGUGCUGAAAAAGAUCAUGCUCAAGGAGAGAGUUUAAGGAAUGAAAUAGCAAUGCAAAUGUUUUGAAGAUGAUUCCAAUUACCCACUGGUCAUUUCAUGUUUUGAAAAUAUGUAGAUCAUUGGGUGUAUUUUUGUUUAGAAAUUGAUAGAAUUGCUUUGUAUCAGGAGUAAAUGCUCAUGUGAAUUCGGAAAUCUGAAUGCAACAGGAAACCUAGUUGCAUUCCAUGUAAACCUGGUUUAUGUAUAUUUUGAGUUCACUUGGUUGCAUGGCAUUUUAUUUACUUGGGUUGCAUUCCACGUAUAUCUUGUUUAUGUAUUUUAUGGUACCAUGCACCUCCUUGCUUAAUUAUUUGUUGUUUUCACCAAUCUUUGCUUCAGAAAGCAAACAGACUGGCUAACAUAUAUAUGGCUGAAACCUGAGUUUAUCACUAAUGUUUCAGCUUAGCAAGUGGUAAACCUGAGUUUCAACUUAGCAAACUAAAGCUAAAAAUAAUAGACAGUUGAGCAGCUGUUAAAGCUAAAUAAGAUCUCAUCAGGAUGGCACUCUACUUUUACAUCACUGCUUCCUUCUUCUUCAGCCUGCAGUCUUUUCUUGUUAAGAAUUAUUACUCUUUGGGUUCAAGGAUAUUUCCCAAAGAAAUUAAAGGUUUUAGAUUUAUUGUGUGUGAGUAGGUUUAUGUAAAAAUCGCCGCAUUUCAGCUUCCAAUUCAUUCUUACAACAAUGUGAGUACAAGAUUUGGGUGAAACUUGAACCAAUAGAGGUAAUUACCGUGAAUUAGAGUGGAGGAUACAUUUAUGAGGGAGUCUCCAACGGACAGCUGAAAAGUGAAGGAGAGGUAAACGGAUUAAAUGAUUCAAAGUAAAAUGCUCAUAAAUAGCAAAUAGUUUGUUCAUCUAAUGGAAGAAACUCGUAAAGAGCUGGUAUGUUAUGAACAAUUUUUUUUUUUUACUUUCAAAUACUUCAUUUAUAUUAAAUACAAAACAUGCUAGUUUUUCUUUCGUAAAAAUAUUUGUGUAACGGCUUUUGAAUUUUGUUUGCAAAUAUUUAUGUAUUUAACAUAAAUUAAAUGAUUCAGAAUAAAAUGCCCAUAAAAACUUGGGUACUCCGUUCUUAUAAUGGAGGAAAGCCAUAAAGAACUAGUAUUUUAUUGAAAACGAGUUUAUUUUUAGUUUAUCCGAUAAAUAAAUUUGUUAGUAAUAUUUUUUACAUUAAAAACGGGUUUAUUUCUAGUCUUGGUUAGUAAUCGUCAGUCUUAUUCAUCAAAAUGGUAUUGGAAUGAUUUUUCUUUUAAAAAAAAAAGAUCAAAUGAUGAAAACUUUCAAUAUUAAAUGCCAGACGUCAUGCUUGUCAGUGCAUUAACUAUCAACAAAUAAAAUUUUAUAAACAUUAGGAUGGAUCAAGUGGUGAAGAAGUGAAGAUUGAGAUAAUCUAAUAAUUAGUAGUAAACUUGAGUUUCAGCUUAGCAAAAACACUAGCUGAAACAUGUACAAUGGCAUUUCCGGUCAAUAUCAAAAUCAUAUGUCAAGAAUACCUAAAAGAUACUACAACGACUUGAGGCGAUUUACAUGCAUGCAAGAGAAUCGAAGUCCAGUAAGAAAUUUGUUGUAUUAUUCACCUUGUGGGAAUGCAUAUGCAAUUGUUUUAGAAAUUUGUUUUGUCCAAAUAUUCUAUUUAUGGGAACAAGAAAGCUAAUUUUUGGACUUUGAUUUACAAAUAGAAAGGGCAAAUAUGUAAAGUUGUAUUCUCAUAAAAUCCUUUCUUUCCAUAUCUCUCCAACUCUCAAAUAAGAGAAAGAUAUUUCUUUUCUUUUUUUUCAUUAAGCUCCCAAACGAAAUAUGCAUCUUUUCCCUUCUCUUCCUUUCUUUCCUAAGCUAUCUUUUCUUUUCUUUUCUCUUCCUUCAUAAACUCCCAAACUAAGCCUAAAUCCGCCCCGGUCCACGAGUGUCGUUACCGUAUGAAAGAAAGGGAAAGAACGAGAAGAUUUUAACAAACUUUAGUAGGCUUUUAAUCGAAAUUUUGAGUUCUGGGAGGGAAGACUUUUUAGAGUCUUGCAGGCAUCCGCUGCAUCGCGAUAGUUGGCCUUUCUGAUACAGGCAUAUCAAAAAGGAAUCAAAUUGGAAUUUACGGUGGAAACAAGGUAGAUGCGCCAACGGCAGCUGGUGUUUCAUUUUCAUGAUGCAAACUGGGGAAAUGUUGGAGCAUUAUGCAUCCAUGCCAUUAGAUAUAUAGUGGGCUUGAUGUUAUACAAUGCAAAUUUUCUUAAAAAAAAACUUUAAAUCAAAAUAAAUCUUGACCUAUCAAUUAUUGAUUUAAGCUAUCAAAACAUUGGCAUGUAACAUGCAAAUAAGCGUUGCUCAUAGGGCAUCAUUCCUUUCCGUCUCACACGCAGAUUAGUCCAUUGGUGGUUCUUUCUUUCCUUUUUUUUUUUUUUUUUUGAAUAUUUGGUACAUAGAGGCUCCAACUUUUACAAGGAGAAGGAAAAAUAGGAGAGUUUAAGGGUCAAGACCUUACGGUCAGUCACCUAAAAGCAUCCGUGCCAAUUGAGUUGAGUUUUGGGAACAAAAUUUUGGCCUUUCCAUUAUAGCAGGAUACAACUAAAUGCCCGGAUUAAUUAACUCAAUUUCCAUAAAUUUAAAAAAAAGAGUAAGAAAUUGGUACCUCUGAUCAAUUCCAAGGGUAGAUAUAUAAUAUAAUUAUUAGUCCUUCAAAUGGAGACGAGUGUCAGUAGACUUAAAAGGAGUCCAUGAUAUUGAUAGUUGGUCUUUUGGUCACAAUAAUUAUUUCGAGAUGUUUGAUUCUUCGUAAUGUGGAAUAACUUUCCUCCAGACAUUCUAAAGAAACAUGAUGGAACAAGUUGCUGUUUGUGAGGUCGUAUUAAUCCUGGUGGGAACCUCUCUUGCGCAAGGAUUUUUGGGUAAUGAAUUGAUCUUUCAAGAAAAACGCUACUAUUUACAAAAACAAGUAUUUUUAUGUUUUUCUUCAUUUGUGUUCAAUUCAAUUCUCUAUAAUGUAUAUUAAUAGUACUAUUUAUCUAGAGGGAGCACCUUCAUGAAUGGACUAUCUCUAGAGGUUCUCCUUCACAUUUGACGCGCAGAUUACGCCAUUAGGCAAUUCGGGCGGCUGAGCGGUCAACACAAGGCAACAUCAAAACGUAAAACAGAUGUAAUAGAUGGGAGAAAUUUCUUUGAAACUCCAAAAUGUGAUUGUCGAGUAGAUUAAUGCGAGUCUUAUGAAUUGAUUACAUUUUCAAUCAAUUCAAUCUCCGGAUAAACAUGCAUGCUAUGCCCAAAUAUAGCUCUGUCCUGGUUUUCACGGUACAAGCACUUCUUCAUUCUCAAAGAAGUUAUUAGCAUACUAAAGAAAGAAAAGGACCUAAAAGGAAAAAAAGAAGAAGAAAAGGAUCUAAUUAUACUAAGAAUCACAAAAGUUAGGGGGUGCUUGGUUCAUGCUCCGAAUUGAAAUUGGAUACGGAAUGAAAUAUAAAAAAAUCAGUAUGGGUAUAAGCUCCUGAUAUCAUUGAAAUAACUACUGCUUGGUACAAUUUUUAGUGGAAUAGGUAUCAAAAUUAUUAUUGCAUUUUUGCCCUAUCUUUUUCUUUGUUGGCUUGCAAACAGAUAUAAGGAACUUUUUUUUUUCAAGAAAAUAUGCGAUAUCCAAUAUUAAAGAACAACAUAUAGUAGAAUUUGUAGAUUCACAUACCAAUUGAGGUUCAAUGACAAAUUAGAACAGCCAAAAUUGUUCAAAAUACAAAGCAAAUAACAACUUGGGAUCCGUUUAUCUCUAACGGCAGCUUGCUUAACAAAAUCCACUAGCAAGGAGGCAACGACCUUUUCCUUCAACAAUACUUAUUAAUGAAUCCAAUCUCCUUAGCAUUGCUGCAAAAGCAUUGUCUGCAGCACAUCAGGCCAUACUUUCUGAUAAUACCAUAAGAGUUUCCACACACACGGCAGGUGCGAGAGCCACAGCCGUGGUUCUUAGGAUGAGAAUUCCAGAUGUUGGAGUGUCCCAUCUCGAUAUCGUCUUCCUCUCUAUCAAGCUUUCAGCGGCUGCUAAUUUCUGCCAAAGCCAACCCUAAUUACUGAAGGCGGAGGAGGCAGAUUUAAGGAACUUUGUGUGGGGUGGCACCAGACUCAAGCCGGUGGGGUUUCUUUCUCAAGUUGAAGUUGAAUCCCUUGAGAUUGCGGCUGUAAAUUCGGACACUGAUUUAAACUCAGGGGUGAGGUUGUGCAGGAGGAGGAGAUGAGUGGUGGGAGUUGAUGGAGGAAGACUAGAGGGAGGAUGACUGAACGAGGAUGAAGGGGUAAGUGGAUAAAAAAAAUGUUUUAUUAAAUUUAUCUUGGAAUCAAAUAUAGAAAUUAACAAAACCCACCAAUUUACUCGGGAAUGGAGAGUUGACAACUUUUUAGAAUUCAUUCCAAAAUCUUCAAUCUCAUACCUAUUAUCCAAGCACUUAAAAUGGACAUCAUUCCAAAUUCCAAAUCCCAUACCCUCAAACCAAGCACCCUUUAGUUUGGUUGAGAAAAGAAAGUAGUACUUUAGAACAAAGGUAGACGAUGAGAUCCUCGAAAAAUAACAUAAUUAUGAAAACAUUUACUAUAUAUAUAUAUAUAUAUGAAGAACAACAUUUAUUUGGGUUGAAUCAACUAUAUAUACAUACAUAUAUAUAUAUACAUACAUAUAAUAUAUAUAUAUAUAUAUAUAUCUAGUAGUAGCACUAGAGGGAGGGAGUGCUCUAACAUUGAUUCGGACUAAAACCAAUCAUCUUAUUGGCAAGGUCGUAAGUGACCCGCAUCCCUUGCUGCUGUAUAUUCCCAAGUAGUGACGCGCCUUCCGAAGUGCUGGCAAAAGCCAAACAGUGCUUGCCACUGGUAUCAACACGAAACAAGUAAUUUGCAGGCCUCAACGGCAGCGUUUUGCCCCAGAGAAAUCAAGCGACAUCGUUGGAUAGCCGUCUGUGGGUUUGAGGAUAGAUCAUAGCAAGCGUCCAAUUUAAAUAUGCCUUCAGCGUACCCGCUCGUGGGAGGCAAGGCUUGAGCGUACUUAACAAACGUAUCACGGACCGAGUUAUAAACCUCAUCUGGCAACAGAGUUAUGGUGGUGCCCGAGUCAACUACAAUUCCCCCGCGUCCGUCUUGGCCUAUUUGGUAAGCUGAUGCCGGAAUGGGUACUUGUUCUCCAUUAAUGGUAAUCCCCGUGAGCUCCACGUAGUAAAAAAUCCCACUUGGAUUAAAAAUCAAAGGAACGAGGACUGAGUCACCAGGUGGAGCUGAGUUAAACUCAAGGGUCGAGGACUUGCCCGAGUCCAUAUCCACAAGACAGUAGGAGAAGGACGUGGCUUGAAUUUUAGAAGGAAAGCUUACAGGAGUGCCCCCAAGACCAAGUAUCCCAGACGCCCCCACGCUUUGAUUUGUAUGGGCGCACCGAUGGCUACUUUGUCAACCGAACCUGAACUUCCAAACGACACCGUUUCAGUGGCGAAUUCUCCCACGACGCUGGAUCCCUCUAAGUAGCCCGCUCUAAACAUACACGGGUCAGCAGUGCAAUUUCGGUUUUCGCCCAGGGAGGCACAUUCCUGGGAUGCGCAGGAUAAAAGACUAUAAGAUGAAGACCCAGAUGGGUCAAAGACCGAACCGGACACGCUAGAACAUCCAUCGCAGGGUAGGCAUUGGAGCCAGUUGAUUUGGCUACCCGUAUCCGCUACCAGGAGGAAUUCUUUUACUGGUUGGCCCACUCCGACCUGAGCUAAGUACGCUCCUCCAAAUGGAGUCAGCGUAGUUUCCAGGUCCUCCGGUUGGACUUGGGCGUCCGGUUUAACGUCAUGAGGGCGGUUGAAGGUGGAGAGAGCCCGCUCAAUUUUGGAGUUGAUGAGCUUGGCUCGGGCUCGGUCACUCGCCAGUCGGAGCGUACGAGGUCGGAGUAGUUGUUGUUUGGCGGCUUUAUGAUGGAUGAAUAAGGAUGUAGGGAGAGGGACAAAACGGAGGAGGUCGAGGUGGGCUGAGCUUUUUCUGUUGAGAAGAGCUGAAGUCUUUUGAAAACUGAAGCAGAGACUGCUUGAGGUGAAAAGGGACUGAGGGGGAAGAAGAAGAAGAAGAGGAUGAUGAAGAUGUUAAUGGAAGGAAAUGGCCUUUGAGCUUCUCGAGCCAUGUUUGUGGGUUUGGAGCAGAAGAGAAG
rnacentral:lncRNA from 1 species